rnacentral:rRNA from 1 species
GCUACAGGCUUAACACAUGCAAGUCGAGGGGCAGCAUUAGGUAGCAAUACUGAGAUGGCGACCGGCGCACGGGUGCGUAACGCGUAUCCAACCUUCCCGUUACUCUUGGAUAGCCUUCCGAAAGGGAGAUUAAUACAAGAUGGUGUUGAAAUUCCGCAUGUUAUUUCAACUAAAGAUUUAUCGGUAACGGAUGGGGAUGCGUGACAUUAGAUAGUAGGCGGGGUAACGGCCCACCUAGUCUACGAUGUCUAGGGGUUCUGAGAGGAAGGUCCCCCACACUGGUACUGAGACACGGACCAGACUCCUACGGGAGGCAGCAGUGAGGAAUAUUGGUCAAUGGGCGGAAGCCUGAACCAGCCAAGUAGCGUGAAGGAUUACAGCCCUACGGGUUUUAAACUUCUUUUAUAUGAGAGUAAUGUGCACUACGUGUAGUGUAUUGCAAGUAUCAUAUGAAUAAGCAUCGGCUAACUCCGUGCCAGCAGCCGCGGUAAUACGGAGGAUGCGAGCGUUAUCCGGAUUUAUUGGGUUUAAAGGGAGCGUAGGCGGGAUAUUAAGCCAGCUGUGAAAGUUUGCGGCUCAACCGUAAAAUUGCAGUUGGAACUGGAGACCUUGAGUGUGCAUAAGGUGGAUGGAAUUCGUGGUGUAGCGGUGAAAUGCUUAGAUAUCACG